GACGAACGCUGGCGGCGUGCUUAACACAUGCAAGUCGAACGAGUGGCGAACGGGUGAGUAAUACGUGAGUAACCUGCCCUCUUUUUGGGAUAAGCCUUGGAAACGGGGUCUAAUACCGGAUACAGGGGGAUGGGCUCGCGGCCUAUCAGCUUGUUGGUGGGGUGAUGGCCUACCAAGGCGGUGACGGGUGGCCGGCCUGAGAGGGUGACCGGCAACAUUGGGACUGAGAUACGGCGCAGACUCGUACGGGAGGGAGAAGUGGGGGAUAUUGCACAAUGGGCGAAAGACGGAUGCAGCGACGCCGCGUGGGGGAUGAAGGGUUUCAGGUUGUAAACCUCUUUCGCUAUCGAAGGGGUAGGUGGAGAAGAAGCGCCGGCUAACUACGUGCCAGCAGCCGCGGUAAUAC
rnacentral:rRNA from 1 species